UAAACCUAAGUGUAAGCCUAAGCCUAAGCCUAAGCCUAAACCAAAGCCUAAGUCUAAGAAUAAGCCUAAGCAAAAGCCUGAGACUGCGCCUAAGCCUAAGCCUAAGCCUAAA
ensembl:ncRNA C44B12.10 ncRNA